rnacentral:rRNA from 1 species
CAGAAGGGAGGCAGCAGGGAGGAAUAUAGGUCAAUAGACACAAGUCUGAACCAGCCAUGCCGCGUGCAGUCCUCCUUCUCUCUUCUUUUUCCCCUUCUUUUCUCCUCUUCUCCCCUCCUCUCCUCUUAUCUGUCUGAAAGUAUCGUACGAAUAAGGAUCGGCUAACUCCGUGCCAGCCUCCUCUGUAAUACGGAGUCUUCACUCGUUAUCCGGAUUUAUUGGGUUUAAAGGGGGCGUAGGCGGUCGGAUAAGUUAUAGGUGAAAUCCCGAGUAUCAACUUCGGAAUUGCCGGGGAUAUGGUUCGGCUAGAGAGUAGUUGCGGUGUGCGGAAUGUAGGGGUGAGCUGUGAAAGGCUUAGAGAU